CAGCAACCAGACUCAACAUCUGGACAUCACUCACCUCUGUCACACAUGUGCAGCUCCUCCAGACUCAGUCUCUCUGAUAGUGUUGAUCUCUGCAGCUGCUGCUGCUGGUGGUUUUCUGUUGAUUGUAGCUUCUGUCAUUGGGAUCUUCUGCAUCUACAGGAAACACAAAAAUUCAGUUCAGACCCAGGGGAAAAACAAAACUGAUUCAGCAUUGUCCAAACCAACAACACGAAAAUUGAAAUCAAAGAAAGAGCCUGUGUAUGAAAAUGUCACCAAAAUACGAUGAUCAAAACAGAAUGAGCUGAUACAGGCCCUGACUCACAUCUUUUAGUUCAUUUUUAUUCUCUGAUACUACUCAAGACCUACUCAAAUUAUACAGUGGAACAUCCAGAUUCAUGUACUAAUUUUAGCUCAACAUGCAUGGAAAUUUUACAUCAUCGCUCUCUAGUGGCCAAAGCAGAAAAUCACCUUUCUCUAAGAGUAGCACUACUUUUACACGAUAGGGUGCGCUAUGAUGCUUCUGUUCUCACAGUCAAUGUGGAGGGCCAAACAUGCAAAAACAAUAAAUAAAUAAAUAAUUGUAAAAUAAAUAAAUAAAUGUAAAAUAAAUAAAUAUACAA